AAAGUCGUAACAAGGUUUCCGUAGGUGAACCUGCGGAAGGAUCAUCACUGAAGAAGUGUUUUUAUUUUUUUGUGGAGAUAUGUUUUCUUAGUUUGACCAGCAACAAAACCAAUGAGAAACAACUUUUAACAAUGGAUCUCUUGGCUCUC
rnacentral:misc_RNA from 1 species